UCGGAACCUGCAGACGCUUGUGGAGGAGUC
rnacentral:piRNA from 1 species